rnacentral:rRNA from 1 species
CGCGCAGGCGGAUCUGACAGUGCUUCGUGAAAUCCCCCGGCUUAACCGGGGAAUGGCGGAGCAUACUACAGGUCUUGAGUCAAGUAGGGGUGUGUGGAACUCUUGGUGGAGCGGUGGAAUGCGUAGAUAUCAAGAGGAACGCCGAAGGUGAAGACAGCACACUGGGCUUGAACUGACGCUGAGGCGCGAAAGCGUGGGGAGCAAACA